UACGUAGGGUGCGAGCGUUGUCCGGAAUUAUUGGGCGUAAAGAGCUCGUAGGCGGUUUGUCGCGUCUGCUGUGAAAACCCGAGGCUCAACCUCGGGCCUGCAGUGGGUACGGGCAGACUAGGGUGCGGUAGGGGGAGAUUGGAAUUCCUGGUGUAGCGGUGGAAUGCGCAGAUAUCAGGAGGAACACCGAUGGCGAAGGCAGAUCUCUGGGCCGUAACUGACGCUGAGGAGCGAAAGCGUGGGGAGCGAACAGG
rnacentral:rRNA from 1 species